GCUCGCCAGCCGAACUCCCUCGUGCGGUUGUUACGACUUUCCCUCUCCGGAUCCGCGCCCCGAACAAGUUCCAGUUGCACUUCCGGGGUCCGCAGGAGAUUGAAACGUCAUUGCGCACACGUCGGCGGCGGGCGCGACAAGCCGGAAGGAGGCGGGGCGUGGUCGCUGGGUCGGUUCUUGUGGCGACUACUAAACAAUGGAAAGGAACAAGCUACUAAUACCUGGAACAACAUGAAUGAACCUCAAAACAUUAAGCUGAGUGAAAGAAGCCUUGCAUGCAAAAAAGGUUUCCUGGAAUAAGAAUUCAUCGGAAGAAACUCUGUGGAAGUUUGAAAGCCGUUAUCAGUAUUCUCUGCCGAUAGCAAAGGCUCUCUAGUCGGCAACUAUCAGAGCAAAUUCUGUCUCUCCACUCUGUGGUCCUAGGCCCACUGUAGCCACCAGGGAACAGUUCAGCUGAAAUGAGCAAUCAACUCCAUUCCUGUUGUUAUUCUUAAAACUUCCUGGCACAGCAUCAGAUACCUGCAUGAAGGAAAAGCUUCUUCAGCCUUCCCUCUCUAUUUGGCUUCCAGUGAGCCACAGCCACACCACACCUCUGCAAGAGACCCUCCAAUACUAGCAGUGGGUAUAUCACAGUUAUUGCCAUAUACAGAAAAUUCUGACUGACAUUUCCAGAGCUUUUUGGUGACAGAAGUGAUUUUCACAUUCCCUCAAGCUGGAGCAUAUUUUCACAAGCACUAUUUGGGUUCUUUGGUCAUUCAUCUUUAAAGUAAGAGAACUCCAUCUAGACCACUUCCAUCAUCUUGUGAUUCAUGGAAAACCAUUGACAACAGGAUUACUGACUGAUCUUGGAGUUGUUAGUUUUUAUCAGUUUUAGUGUUUUUAUAGUUAUUUCAUUGGGUGGUUGUAAGAGGUUUUACUAGGGGGUGUUAGGUAGCAUGCACUUUCAAUCAAGCUACCUAUUCAAAAUGUCAGCAUUUUUGCAGUAUCUCCCAAGAUGUUUCUGUUGAAGAAUAAUAUUUGUACUGUGAGAGUUAUAUCUGGAACUCCUGUACUCCAGAAUCAAAAACAAAAAUGUGAAGCAAUAGUUUCUAUUUCACAGGCUAAUUAAAGCAAGAGAUUUGGUAUUUCUUUACAAAAAGAAUGAUGAAGGUAGAUAGUGGCCUGGAAACCAGUGAACCUGAUUGCAAAAUGAAUAUUUAAAAGCCCCUCUGAUUUAAUGUGCUCUUGUUUCCAUUCCCUUUAUUCUUUACAAAGACAAAGAGUCCUCUGUAAAUAUUGCUUUAAGGAUUAUCAGGCUUCAAUUUUCAAUUUUGUCCAAAGGCCAUAAUUUAAACCAUAAUAUUGGCUUUACAAAUGUAAACAGUGAUUGAACCUCUUUCCUUUAGUAAUAGAAAUGCCAAUGAAAUUAGAGUCAAUUAAAUAAUUGCUUUAUUAACCUAAUGUAUUACUGCUGUAAGACGUGCUGUGACUCAUCCAGUCAGGAGGGGAGCUAGGAGAGAACAAAACUACAUCAACAUAAAGACAAUGGAAACCAGCAUUUUGUAAAAACUUGAUCCAAUAAAAAU